UACGGGGGGGGCAAGCGUUGUUCGGAAUUACUGGGCGUAAAGGGCUCGUAGGCGGCCAAUUAAGUCAGACGUGAAAUCCCUCGGCUUAACCGGGGAACUGCGUCUGAUACUGGAUGGCUUGAAUCCGGGAGAGGGAUGCGGAAUUCCAGGUGUAGCGGUGAAAUGCGUAGAUAUCUGGAGGAACACCGGUGGCGAAGGCGGCUUUCUGGACAAAUACCGACGCUGAGGCACGAAAGCUAGGGGAGCAAACAGG
rnacentral:rRNA from 1 species